AUUGAACGCUGGCGGCAGGCCUAACACAUGCAAGUCGAACGAGUGGCGGACGGGUGAGUAAUGUCUGGGAAACUGCCCGAUGGAGGGGGAUAACUACUGGAAACGGUAGCUAAUACCGCAUACCAUCGGAUGUGCCCAGAUGGGAUUAGCUAGUAGGUGGGGUAAUGGCUCACCUAGGCGACGAUCCCUAGCUGGUCUGAGAGGAUGACCCGCCACACUGGAACCUAGACACGGUCCCGACUCCUACGGGAGGCAGCAGUGGGGAAUUGUGCACAAUGGGCGCAAGCCUGAUGGAGCCAUGCCGGGUGUAUGAAGAAGGCCUUCGGGUUGUAAAGUACUUUCAGCGGGGAGGCGUUACCCGCAGAAGAAGCACCGGCUAAAUCCGUGCCAGCCGCCGCGGUAAUAC
rnacentral:rRNA from 1 species